AUUUAAAUAGUUUAUUUAGAAUAAUAACUUGUGGAGUUAUGGGUGCAUAUAUGCUUUAGAUC
rnacentral:tRNA from 1 species